rnacentral:misc_RNA from 1 species
GAAACGCGAUAGGUAAUGUGAAUUGCAGAAUUCCGUGAAUCAUCGAAUCUUUGAACGCACCUUGCGCUCUAUGGCAAUCCGUAGAGCAUGCCUGUUUGAGUGCCAUGAAAUCUCCCACCCCAAGCACUGCUUGGUGAUGGGCGCUUGUCCCGCCCUGCUGCGCGCGGACUCGCCUCAAAACCAUUGGCGGCCGGCAUCCGUUUUUCGCACGCAGUAUACCGCGCGAGUGGAAUUAGGAAGCCCGGCGUCCACAAAAAGGACCCCCAAGAUUGACCUCGGAUCAGGUAGGGAUACCCGCUGAACUUAA